rnacentral:rRNA from 1 species
CACGGGGGGAGCAAGCGUUGUUCGGAAUCACUGGGCGUAAAGCGUGCGCAGGCGGUUAUGCAAGACAGAUGUGAAAUCCCCGGGCUUAACCUGGGAACCGCAUUUGUGACUGCAUAGCUGGAGUACGGCAGAGGGGGAUGGAAUUCCGCGUGUAGCAGUGAAAUGCGUAGAUAUGCGGAGGAACACCGAUGGCGAAGGCAGUCCCCUGGGCCUGUACUGACGCUCAUGCACGAAAGCGUGGGGAGCAAACAGG